UGGCCCCUUGCCGUGGUCGGCGCCCUUUCGGGCCCAACAGGGAAACCGGUGCGAGACCGGUGCUGCUCCCGCAACUGUAAUCGGUGAGCCCGUCCGAAAGCCACUGGUGCCCCGCGCACCGGGAAGGUGGACAUCGCGGUGAUGACCCGAGAGCCAGGAGACCUGCCGACGUGAAGCAACCCUG
rnacentral:ncRNA from 2 species